rnacentral:piRNA from 1 species
ACCUCAUGUUGUGCCUCCUAAGUGCU